rnacentral:rRNA from 1 species
AUUGACCGCUGGCGGCAGGCUUAACACAUGCAAGUCGAGCGAGCGGAGGACGUGUGAGUAAUUUCUGGGACUCUGCCUGAUGGAGGGGGAUAACUACUGGAACGGAGAGCUAAUACCGCAUACCAUCAGUUGUGCCCAGAUGGUAUUCGCUAGCGGGUGGGGUAAUGGCUCACCUAGGCGACUCUUCCUAGCUGGUCUGAGAGGAUGACCAGCCACACGGGAACUGAGACACGGUCCAGACUCCUACGGGAGGCAGCAGUGGGGAAUAUUGCACAAUGGGCGCAAGCCUGAUGCAGCCAUGCCGCGUGUGGGAAGAAGGCCUUCGGGUUGUAAAGCACUUUCAGCGAGGAGGCGUUACUCGCAGAAGAAGCACCGGCUAACUCCGUGCCAGCAGCCGCGGUAAUAC